GGGGACUGGGGCGUGCUUAUACUGCAGGUCGAACGCGUUGGCCCAAUUGAUUGAUGGUGCUUGCACCUGAUAGAUUUUGGUCGCCAACGAGUGGCGGACGGGUGAGUAACACGUAGGUAACCUGCCCAGAAGCGGGGGACAACAUUUGGAAACAGAUGCUAAUACCGCAUAACAGCGUUGUUCGCAUGAACAACGCUUAAAAGAUGGCUUCUCGCUAUCACUUCUGGAUGGACCUGCGGUGCAUUAGCUUGUUGGUGGGGUAACGGCCUACCAAGGCGAUGAUGCAUAGCCGAGUUGAGAGACUGAUCCCCCACGAUGGGACUGAGACACGGCCCAUACUCCUACGGGAGGCAGCAGUAGGGAAUCUUCCACGAUGGGCGCAAGCCUGAUGGAGCAACACCGCGUGAGUGAAGAAGGGUUACGGCUCGCAUAGCUCUGUUGUUAAAGAAGAACACAUAUGAGAGUAACUGCUCAUACGUUGACGGUAUAUAACCAGAAAGGCACGGGUAACUACGUGCCAUCAGCCGCAGAAAUACGGAUGUGGCACGCGUUAUCCCGAUUUAUUGUUCGUAUAAAGAGCGCACGUGGUUUUCUACGCCUGAUGUGAAAGCCUUCGGGUUAUCCGGACAAGUGCAUCGGACACUGGAUAUCUUGAGUGCAGAACACGGCAGUGAAACUCCGUGUGUCGCGGUGGUAUGCU
rnacentral:rRNA from 2 species